AGCCAUCAUUUAAAGAAAGCGUAAUAGCUCACUGGUCGAGUCGGCCUGCGCGGAAGAUGUAACGGGGCUAAACCAUGCACCGAAGCUGCGGCAGCGACGCUGAUGCGUUGUUGGGUAGGGGAGCGUUCUGUAAGCCUGUGAAGGUGUGCUGUGAGGCAUGCUGGAGGUAUCAGAAGUGCGAAUGCUGACAUAAGUAACGAUAAAGCGGGUGAAAAGCCCGCUCGCCGGAAGACCAAGGGUUCCUGUCCAACGUUAAUCGGGGCAGGGUGAGUCGACCCCUAAGGCGAGGCCGAAAGGCGUAGUCGAUGGGAAACAGGUUAAUAUUCCUGUACUUGGUGUUACUGCGAAGGGGGGACGGAGAAGGCUAUGUUGGCCGGGCGACGGUUGUCCCGGUUUAAGCGUGUAGGCUGGUUUUCCAGGCAAAUCCGGAAAAUCAAGGCUGAGGCGUGAUGACGAGGCACUACGGUGCUGAAGCAACAAAUGCCCUGCUUCCAGGAAAAGCCUCUAAGCAUCAGGUAACAUCAAAUCGUACCCCAAACCGACACAGGUGGUCAGGUAGAGAAUACCAAGGCGCUUGAGAGAACUCGGGUGAAGGAACUAGGCAAAAUGGUGCCGUAACUUCGGGAGAAGGCACGCUGAUAUGUAGGUGAAGUCCCUCGCGGAUGGAGCUGAAAUCAGUCGAAGAUACCAGCUGGCUGCAACUGUUUAUUAAAAACACAGCACUGUGCAAACACGAAAGUGGACGUAUACGGUGUGACGCCUGCCCGGUGCCGGAAGGUUAAUUGAUGGGGUCAGCGCAAGCGAAGCUCUUGAUCGAAGCCCCGGUAAACGGCGGCCGUAACUAUAACGGUCCUAAGGUAGCGAAAUUCCUUGUCGGGUAAGUUCCGACCUGCACGAAUGGCGUAAUGAUGGCCAGGCUGUCUCCACCCGAGACUCAGUGAAAUUGAACUCGCUGUGAAGAUGCAGUGUACCCGCGGCAAGACGGAAAGACCCCGUGAACCUUUACUAUAGCUUGACACUGAACAUUGAGCCUUGAUGUGUAGGAUAGGUGGGAGGCUUAGAAGUGUGGACGCCAGUCUGCAUGGAGCCGAACUUGAAAUACCACCCUUUAAUGUUUGAUGUUCUAACGUUGACCCGUGAUCCGGGUUGCGGACAGUGUCUGGUGGGUAGUUUGACUGGGGCGGUCUCCUCCUAAAGAGUAACGGAGGAGCACGAAGGUUGGCUAAUCCUGGUCGGACAUCAGGAGGUUAGUGCAAUGGCAUAAGCCAGCUUGACUGCGAGCGUGACGGCGCGAGCAGGUGCGAAAGCAGGUCAUAGUGAUCCGGUGGUUCUGAAUGGAAGGGCCAUCGCUCAACGGAUAAAAGGUACUCCGGGGAUAACAGGCUGAUACCGCCCAAGAGUUCAUAUCGACGGCGGUGUUUGGCACCUCGAUGUCGGCUCAUCACAUCCUGGGGCUGAAGUAGGUCCCAAGGGUAUGGCUGUUCGCCAUUUAAAGUGGUACGCGAGCUGGGUUUAGAACGUCGUGAGACAGUUCGGUCCCUA
rnacentral:rRNA from 1 species